rnacentral:lncRNA from 1 species
GAGUGACCUGGGGCAAGGAGAGUGGUUCACCAGCUGCACGCAGGCUUCGCACCACGUCCCCCACAGCUGCAAACAUCCGUCAUGUGGCAAUCGCUCCCUCCACGCCUCAUAAGCCAACCGCUCUCUCCACCGCCCAGACAGAGGGGACCCCACGGGAGCGCCAGCACCAGAGGCACGAGGACUAGCCAGCUGUGCUCCAGCCCAGGGGAACUCACUCUCAGGGCUGCCUGUUUUAGAUGGACGCCCAGGCCGCCAGCGGCUGCUUCAGCCUGGUUCUCGGAGGGACUCGUGUGGAGCUGGAGUCCAGGAUUCCAGUUCUGGGCCUGUGAGGCCUGGACUCUGGGUGGAGAAGGUGCUGGCCUCUGUCGUGUGGAAACAGGGCACACUGUGUGCCGCAGGGUAGGCCAGUCUGUCUCCUGGCCUCUCCUUGCUCCUUGAAGAGGGGAGGAGGCCUGUCACUCCUGGGCGAGAUGUGGGCCAGGCAGAGGCAGGGACGUCUGCGGAGAGCCCGCAGGGACUGAGCAUGGGUCCUCACACGGAUCAUCCCCACCCAGCCUCAUCUCAUCUGUGCAGUGGGCCCACACCUGCACGGCCCCUCCAGGAGUCGUGGUGAGGCUCAGAGGAGGCAGGCUGUGGGUCCUCGGGGACUCAUGUCCCAUCUCAUCACUUGCCCCCCACCGCCCCAGCUCCUCCAGUCGCCGUUGCAUCCUAGGGAACCUCUCAUUCCAUACUCACUAGCUUUGGGUGGUAUUGUCCCUUUGUCCAGGUGUCAUGCACAGCCCCCACCUCGGGCCUGGCCAGGGGAUCUCAUUGCCAUGCCAGUCGAGACUGUGAUCCCUGGUCCCUACGGAAGCCGCCGGCCUCUCCUCCGCUCACAGCCCCUUCCCCUUCCAGCCAGGUGGCCAAGCUCAGCGCCCACCAUGACUUCUCCAGGGACCCCCCUGGGAGCCCAGGAGCCCCCCCCACCCGCGUGGGAGCCACGAGCGCUGCUCCUUGAGGCUCACCCAGGCGAGUCUGCACCCAGCUGCCCAUGCUGCAGGCUGUGCAGCAAACGAAACUUUCAUUAGAUGUGAAAAUCAGCAAUCCGGCUUCGUGCUGGGAGGGAAAGGCCCGCACGCGCGUGACCGCAGACGGUGGCUUGCUCCAGCCGCGAAGGCAGAGGAAGGGCUCCGAUGGCCCCGAUGACUAACCGAAUUUCCGAACUGUGUUCUCAAAGCAGAGGCGCUGUUCCAGCCCUCACACAGCAAUGGCCCCCUGCCGGGUUUCAGUGACUCCCCACCCUGGGCUCGGGUGGUCCAUCUUCUCACUGGCUCGGUCACCUGUGGGUGCCGGAGCCAGGCCUGAUCCACCCCAUGGUUCUCUAGGGUGCUUGCUGAGGGCCACCCAGCAGUCACUACGCUUUCCGGUACUGGGCACACUGCAUGAUGUCCCCUCUUAUUCAGCUGCAAUGGCCUCCAGGGAGAAACUAAAGCUCAGAGAGGUUCAGAGACUUGGCCAUAGUCACACAGCAAGUCCACCAGAGCUAAGCAGGAAGCACCCUGCCCUUCCCCCAGGGCCUAGCCUCAGCUUGUGGAGCUGGGGGUGGGAUCCCCUUCCGUGAGCCCGACCUCAGGUAGGGGGCUGGGGAGGAGGGAGACUGAGCUUCAGCCUUUUACCCACUGGUGAAGAUCAGACCCAGAGGAGGGGUGGAUAUGCAGCUGUGUGUGGAGAAGAUGCCACCCAUCCACACAGCGCCUGAACACCGCCAUCUGUCGUCCUGUGUGGACCCUCAUGGCCGAGCCCCUCACUGUGGCAGGAAGCUCUGGGACAUCAGAGCUGAGAAAAGUGUGGGUUUGCAAUGCAAGCCUGAGUGUGGAAUUAACUCCCGGGCCUUGAACUCCACUUACCUUCCCUGAGCCUCAGCUUCACGUCUGUGAGUGGUGGUCCUUCCCCCCAUCCCCUGCCCUUCCAGGUUGUAGGGUCGUUUGCAUGGACCCCUCUUGCCCUCCCUGGGUUGGUGGGUGGAAAUGAGAACACACAGCGGCAGGGGGCUGGUGAAGGUGUCAGGGACGUGCAGGGACCCCGGAUAUGAGCUCCGUGGCCUGCACCAUGCAGACUAGAGUCUCUGUGCACUCACCACUGAGGACGCUCUGCCCACAUGCCUACCCCUUGCACCCUCAGCUGGCCACUGCUGUGCCCAGUACAGGGCUCGGAGCCACCAAGGGCUCUUGGGGACAUUGCCAUGCCUUUGGGAAGCCAUGCAGCCCGGGGACCUCAAGGCAGCAAAACCCAAAAGCAUCCCAUUGGGUGACUUGGCUGUGGGUCCUUCCAGGGCUCAGAGGCUUUGUGUCCAAGGAGGCCGAGCGAGGGCCUUGCUGCCCUGGUCAGAGCAAGGAAGGCACUAAGGGAGCAGCCUUGGCCAUGAGCUGAUGGAGUGUCUGGCCAGCUCACCAACACGUAUGGGGCGGGAGACGGGUCCCAUUGCCAGGACACACGGCGGCCCGAGCGGCGGGGAGCUGCCCGUCUGUGGGUGCCAGCAAGCCCUGUCCAUCCCGGUCCUGGUGACCGAGCCCCUCCCCAGCUCUGCUAUCACCUUUCAGGUGAGGAAAUCCCACGGACCCCUCACCCUGGAGCUCUUCCUUCCCGAGCAGCCUUGGCACCAGUGGGCCUUGGCCCUGGAGGGCCCUGGGGGCCCCAGCACAGGACCAGGGCCAAGAGCCUCUGCUGGUACAGAGACGCUGGUCGCAGCAGCCACCGCAGCCUUGCUGGCGUGCAGGUCCUGCGAACGCCACCACCGGCUCAGCCGGGCGCUGGAAUAUAAAUUCUCCGAGCGCCUCCUGUGGGAAAGGCUCGGUGGUGAUUCAAGGAUGACUCACACGCGAUUUCGUGGGAACCGUGGGCGGAAUGACCGUGAUACGGAUCCGGUGGCGUGCAGCGUGGGCGGGACAGAUGACGUGGGCGUCAGAGAUAGAGAAACGGCGGCACAGAGAGCUCAGGGAAGUUGUCCAAGGUCACACAGCGGGCGGAGAACUUGCAAAGCUAAACCGAGACCUAAACUAGCAGAAAUUACGAUGUGACAGUGUGUUCUUUCUCAAAGUGCUGGUCAAGGGCUAUCCCAUUUGGACCCCCUGACGCUCUCGGAGGUGGGCUGGGUAAACACAGCUGUUCUGCCUGAUGCCCCGGGAAAUGGAGAGGCCGGGACGCCCAUGCCCCUGGCUACCAGGGUGGAGGCAGGGUUUGUCUGAAGGGCCAGGGGGAGGGCUUCCUGCCCACCUUCCCCAUCACACGGGACCUGGUGUCCCUGAAUAGGCCCCACCCGGACCUCACAGGCGGCAGCUGACACUGGGACAGGUCUCCUGGCUCAGGCGGGGUUUGCUCUGCCCUUGUCCACGAUGUGAGAGAACAUGCCACGAAAGUUACAAAUGUGGCAGACUCAAGGUUUUGAAAAAUGAUGACAGAGGUGAGAAAACGAAGAUCCCAAAAA